CUGCUGCGGCGGAUGGCGGCGGAGCGGUGUUUACAUCGCCGCGGCGCCGCUCGCCCCGGCGGCGAGGGGUGCGGGGAGCCGGGGUGACAGGGGCCCCGCCCGCCCUGCCGCGCGGGGUGUGUUUGCCGCCUGUACAAACUUCCCCAGCAGCUGCCCAAAGUUGUUGUAAUUGUGUCACACAGCGAACCCCACGCCGCCACCGUGACCCCCCCCCUCCCCGCCCGCCCGCCCGGGCCCACGCAGCCAAUCGCCGCCUCCGCAGCGCCGCACGUGACCUUUGUUGACUUACGUCAGUCAUAGCGCUCUUCCACCGCGGCGCUUCGGCUUGGUUGGCCUACGGCGCCCGCCUCCCUCGCAGGCCUCAUCGCAUUAGUCGGCGUCCGAGGGGAGGGGGCGGGUUUCCUGGGACUCGCGGCUUGUGACAGGCCAGAGAGCCGUCAGUCAGAGCAGCUUUUCGAUUUCCCAGCGCCAGCAGUUUAAUUGUAUCCUCAGUUGACAUUCCUGGUAAGCAAGGCCAAAAGUAAACUGGGCUAUCCAGUACUACCAAUCCAGAUAGAUUAAACAAAAGAAAGAGAACCCUGGGAUAAAUCUGAGCCAGCUGAGAGGACAGAGGGAUGCCUGAACCUGAAGCAGCACUUCCCGGCUGGCGAGGAUGAAGCGCAGGGUCACCCACCCCCACCUCGAAAGUAUGCAGAGAUGACAGAGUGGUCAAGGCGGGCACUUGCUGGAAACAAGCACGGUGAAUUUAAGGCGGAGAAAGGGAAAUGUACAGUACCGGGCCAGAGGGAUAUGAUCUUCUUGCUAGUGGCACAAAGGCAGCAUCUCAGAUAUGGAUUACCUCAGAAUUAUCCUUCUUGACAAAUAGGUUGUGAAACCAUCUCUUAGUCUCGUGGCAGGUCCCAACCCUGCCUUCGCCCAGGGAACCCUGAGCAGCUGCUGCCUUCCCUUUGCCACUGAGUACAGGUGUCAGCAGGUCUGUCAUACUUAUGGAGUAAACUGAUACCAUCCAUGUCAAAACCUAGUCUUCAGCAGUUGUCUCUUGCUCACCUGUGAUGCCAGACAGCUUCACAAGGUAUUUCCAGGAAUACUGACUAUUCAGCAUCAAUACAGCCACCGGACCACUGGCAGAAAAUUGCCUCCAGUUUUGACCACAGCCAUGGAAAGGACAACCAAACCCCCCGGCACUGGUAGUCUGCAUGGGGUCUUACACUCAGCUCAUGUCACCAGAGAAAAAGCACUAGACAGAGCCAACCAACUUUUUACACCAAAUAUUGUAAAGUAGGUGUUGCACUGGGUUAGCAGCCAGGAGUUUGGUCCUAAGCUCCUAAUGGACAGGAGCAAAAUGGCCCACAAGUGAAAAUCCUCAUCUGCUUCAAACUGUGAUGGCUCCUUUAUUCAUGGACAUCACGAGUAUCCUACACAAAACUCAGCACUGAUCUGGUUCCUGCACACCCCUCAAGGCAAUUCAGCCACGUGAGCAGCGACACUCUCCUCAGCCCACUCACCCAGGAAACCUACCUACGUCCAAAAGUCCUUGCAGGAUCCAUCCUCGGUUAUGCUGUGGCACGGUGCAUUUCACAUGAAGACAGGAGCAGCCUUAAACUUUUUGCAUGCAUUGACAAAUAAAUGGAAAAAGUGGAUACUUUCCCUUGUUCCAGGCACUUGGACUAUAAAUCCAUAGAGAACUUGAGUAAACAUAACUUUCUUAGUAUGUUAAAAAGUUCACACUGUGGAAAGAAGACAUUUCUGAGAAACAGAUUUUAGUCUUUGAAAUAAUUAGACUGAGCUGAACAGAUUUUUGGCAUGAUUCGUAAGCCAGUCAUUGUUCAGCCUUUGUACUUAGAAGAGCAAUUAUGACUCCUUUGGAAACAUCCUUAGUUGAACUCUUAAAAUAAUAAAAACACUCCUCCAUAAGACCACAUCAACAUAUGGUUUUCCUAAUGACAGCACAAACAAAUCACCCACUCAUCAAACACAUUUAGGAAGAAGACAGGAACAAACAGAACAAACAAAUUUUCUAAAGAUUACUUACUGGUCCUGAUCAAUCAGGAAAAAAAAUUAAAUUGAAUUCAGGAACUGCCUAUGGGAUAUAGAAUACACAUGAAAUAAGCAAAAACAUAAAUAUCACCAAAUACUGUAACGCAAAGUUUAUAGAUAAUGUGCUGUGAAGUUGUAUCUCAAAAAUAUUGAGCAGCUGUUGCCCAGCUUUAUGAUCCACCCACUGGUUUACUUUUUAACUUUGGUGAUACAUCAUGGGUAAGCAAGAAAGAGAUAAAGUACAUCGACACUAGUGUUCACUAUCCGAACAUCCUCCCUGGUUUCUCCACCUUGCUGCUAACUCCAGGGUGAGUUCCCAGCUGAACAAAAGCUGGUGGGUGACGGGCGUCCCUGCUGUAGUUCUCUUUAGUAGAUGCUGCUGUGUGGUGACUACGUGGGUGUUAGCUGCUUUGAGAUUCACGGAGCCCUGUCACCCUUCUAUGGCUCCAUCCAGCUUGGCGUAGCUCAUUGGUGCAUUCUGACGAGUUAGUAUCACUUCAGAGAAGUGGAGUCCCAAAGCACGUCUGUCUGGGCCUCCGGAGGUUAAUGCUACACAGAAAAUACUCUGGCAACAUAAGCGUCCAUGCUUUCCAGGAGCGCAGUCUUUGACAGUCCUGAAAGCAUCCACAUCUUUAGAAAUGUGGAAGCUGAGGUAAAUGGACACAGGAAGGUUUCAAACUAUAAGUCACUCCUGAUCUUACCUCGUGUAAUAUACAGCCAUGUGCAUGCGCACACACAUACAGAAAGCCUAUACCUUUUCAUAGCUUCAAUUUUCUCAGCUCUUUUGAGCACCUUUGGGGUACCAGUCAGGUUUUUCCAGAGCAUCGAAGGACUCCCCUUCUCCUUUGGAUCACAAUGUCUCUGUCUCUGCUUACUGCAUCUUUUCGUGCAUAUGCUGGAGACUGUGCCCAAGAGCUGCUGCUCCAUAACCUUUUCCUUUGCCAGGCGACACACAGCUCAGUCCUCCUGCAUGACCUGUGUCUGUGCAGCACACCUAUGGCUUCCCGGGCCAAGCACUGGGAAACAACCCGGCUGCCAGCAGCAGCCACUGCAGCUUCCACACAGCUCUCUGCAACAACUUCAGCCCAGCCCUGGGAUGCAGGAAAAAGGGAGCAAACGAGCUAGGCAGUCAAAAUGGGGUUCGCCAUCUAACAAAUACCUAGAGAGAGCCCUCAGUAUGGGACAGUAUUUAAAGAAUGAACAUAAAACCUCCAGAUUCCUACAAGAAGCAACCCUGCCUGCAUGUAGCUCUGUUGUUUUUCUUGCCCUCUUCUGUGUAUGUGUUCUCUGGCUAUAAGAAUAGACUAGAAAACUCUACCUGCUAGUUUUGAUUCCAGUCGGAAUGUGGACCAAGCACAUAUCCCACACUUCUCCUCCGAGUAACUCUAGAUGAGACUGCAUGAGAACAGUAUUAAACCACCAGUGGCUGAACCGGAGCCCCUGCUACCAUGUUCUCACUGCUGCUGCAGCCUGUAGGACUGGGCAGAUGGUAUCAGUGCCAGGAAAUACAUAGCAACAAAAACUUCUGUCACUAGAGCCAGUGUCAUGCUUGUUGUCAAUGCAACGAGUUAAUGACAGGAUUAGGAACCAAGUUUCCUCCUCUAAUCCCUACCCAUGCCAUUUUCAGGUUUAGUCAGACUCGGGACUGCUGCUGCUACAAAUGUUUAGCUCAGAAUUAUGUCCCAAAUAGCUUCAGCAGACAGCACUGCUUCUGUCCUGCCACGUGCUGAAAGCUCUGCAUAGUAGUGCUUGGUCU